CUCGAGCUGCUUCCGCGGCGA
rnacentral:siRNA from 1 species